ensembl:snRNA U6 U6 spliceosomal RNA
AUGCUCACUUCAAAAGCAAAUGUACUAAAAAUUGGAAUGAUACAGAGAAGCUUAGUAUAGCACCUGCACAAGGAUGGCAUGCAAGAUUGUGAUGUACUUGAUAAAGGGUGUUU